ACGGCUCAGUAACACGUGGACAAUCUAACCUAUGGAAGGGGAUAACCCCGGGAAACUGGGGAUAAUACCCUAUAGACUAUGGAUGCUGGAAUGCUCUGUAGUUGAAAGGUCCGCCGCCAUAGGAUGGGUCUGCGGCCGAUUAGGUUGUUGUUGGGGUAACGGCCCAACAAGCCUGUAAUCGGUACGGGUUGUGGGAGCAAGAGCCCGGAGAUGGAUUCUGAGACACGAAUCCAGGCCCUACGGGGCGCAGCAGGCGCGAAAACUUUGCAAUGCGGGAAACCGCGACAGGGGAACUCCGAGUGCCCGUUAAAUCGGGCUGUCCACCAGUUUAAAUAACUGGUGAAGAAAGGGCCGGGCAAGACCGGUGCCAGCCGCCGCGGUAAUACCGGCGGCUCGAGUGGUGGCCACUAUUACUGGGCUUAAAGCGUUCGUAGCUGGUUUGUUAAGUCUCUGGGGAAAUCUUCCGGCUUAACCGGAAGGCGCCUCAGGGAUACUGGCAGACUAGGGACCGGGAGAGGUGAGGGGUACUCCAGGGGUAGGAGUGAAAUCCUGUAAUCCUUGGGGGACCACCUGUGGCGAAGGCGCCUCACCAGAACGGCUCCGACAGUGAGGGACGAAAGCUGGGGGAGCAAACCGGAUUAGAUACCCGGGUAGUCCCAGCUGUAAACGAUGCGCGUUAGGUGUAUCGGUGACCACGAGUCACCGAGGUGCCGAAGAGAAAUCGUGAAACGUGCCGCCUGGGAAGUACGGUCGCAAGGCUGAAACUUAAAGGAAUUGGCGGGGGAGCAC
rnacentral:rRNA from 1 species